CUUAUUUUCUCUCUGCAUCCAAAGACAUAUGUGUAUGAGAGAGAAACGAUAAUUGGGGAUUCUGUGGAUCGUAUACUCAUCUUGUAGCGAUUCCGAUUCCGAUCUGUAGUGAGCAAUUAAUCGGUUUACGAAUUCUGAAUCUUGAAAAUGCCUGCGGAUCAAGGCGAGCUCUCUGUUGAACAGGUAUUGCGAAGGGAUAUUCCAUGGGAGACUUAUAUGACCGCUAAGCUCAUAUCGGGGACGGGGCUUCAGCUGCUGCGGCGCUACGACAAGAAACCGGAGAAUUACAAGGCUCAGUUACUGGAUGAUGAUGGCCCUGCUUAUAUUCGUGUUUUUGUUAGCAUCCUGCGUGACAUAUUCAAGGAAGAAACUGUGGAGUAUGUUUUAGCCCUGAUUGAUGAGAUGCUUUCAGCAAACUCUAAAAGAGCUAGAUUGUUUCAUGAUAAGACUCUUGCUGAUGAGGACAUAUACGAGCCUUUCCUAAGGUUGCUCUCUGAAGGUAAUUGGUUUAUACAAGAGAAGAGCUGUAAAAUACUUUCUUUGAUAGUGAGUGGAAGACCUAAAGCUCAGGAUGGUGCUAUUGCUAAUGGAGCAUCAGGUUCAAAGAAGAAGAUCACAACUAUAGAUGAUGUUUUGAAGGGACUGGUUGACUGGUUGUGUUCACAGCUGAAGAAGCCAUCUCAUCCUACUUGUGGCAUUCCUACAGCUGUUAAUAGCCUAGCAACCUUACUGAAGGAGCCUAUUGUGAGAUUUUCAUUUGUUCAAGCAGAUGGAGUGAAGUUGCUCAUUCCUCUAAUUUCUCCAGCAUCCACUCAACAGUCCAUCCAGCUUCUCUACGAAACCUGCCUUUGUGUAUGGCUCCUGUCCUACUACGAGCCUGCUGUUGAGUACUUGGCUACUUCUAGGUGCUUGCCGCGGUUGAUUGAAGUGGUUAAAGGUUCCACAAAGGAAAAAGUUGUUAGGGUGGUCAUCUUGACUCUUCGGAAUUUGCAACACAAAGGGACAUUUGGUGCUCAGAUGGUGGACCUUGGACUGCCACAGAUUGUUCAGAACUUAAAAGCUCAAGCAUGGAGUGAUGAGGAUCUACUGGAAGCUCUGAAUCAGCUGGAGGAAGGUCUGAAAGACAACAUCAAGAAGCUCAGUUCUUUCGAUAAGUAUAAGCAGGAGGUUCUCCUUGGACAUCUCGACUGGUCACCCAUGCACAAAGACCCUAUAUUCUGGCGGGAGAACAUCACAAGCUUUGAGGAGCAUGACUUCCAGAUCCUAAGGGUCCUUCUCACUAUCUUGGACACAUCCACCGAUCCCAGAACACUUGCUGUUGCUUGCUAUGAUCUCUCACAAUUUAUUCAGUGCCACCCCGCUGGACGCGUCAUUGUGACCGACCUUAAGGCUAAGGACCGUGUUAUGAAACUGAUGAAUCACGAGAAUGCCGAGGUCACUAAAAAUGCCUUGCUCUGCAUCCAGAGGCUCUUUCUUGGUGCCAAAUAUGCAAGCUUUCUGCAAGCAUGAUUCUUCCUACCACAAGCCAUCAAUUCUACAAGUUCACAAGAUGGCAAGAAUUUACGAAAAGACAUGAAAGCAUUAAUAAUUGCGUGCUCGUGAUGUGGCGUAAUUAUUAGGAACACACCAGAAAAGCGCCACACAGUGAGAAGUCGCAUUAUGAAUUGAGAAAAGUCGCAUUUAUGAAUCGCCGCCACGUGUUAGGUUGACAGUAGCGCUUUUCGCGCGGCAGAUGAAGUCGUCAUUAAUCGCCCGCGCAAAAGGAGUUGGAGAAGAAGACAGUGAUUGAUGAUGGUGUUGAUUUGAAUUCGAAUUCCGAAGACGGACCGAAAAGUUUCCAGAGCAUUCCUACGAUCUCAUCCCUGCUUCCUCUGGUUACUAUUACCAAGGAGCUCCUCCUCCUGUAAUGGCACCGCCACAGUACACGGCUCCCCCUCCGCAAAGGCAAAUCGGAUGCCUUGAAGGAUGGUACAUACAUAAACACACAGCUAAUUAAUUCCUAGUUAUCGAUCUCUACAGAUCGCCCUAAUUUAGUUCAUAGCUAGAAUCCUAUUUUCUUCUUCUUCUUCUUCUUCUUGAGCUACCUGAUCUCCUCCUCCUCUAUGAUCUUUCUAAUUAACAUACCUUCUUCAAUGAUUUAUGCGUGUAGCCUUGCAGCCAUGUGUUGCUGUUGUUUGAUCGAUGAAU